AGUCAAGUAAUUAAGUGCAUGUGGUGGAUGCCUUGGCAGUCAGAGGCGAUGAAAGACGUGAUAGCCUGCGAAAAGCUCCGGGGAGGCGGCAAAUAUCCUUUGAUCCGGAGAUGUCUGAAUGGGGGAACCCACCUACUUUAAGGUAGGUAUUGCAACAUGAAUACAUAGUGUUGCAAGGCGAACGAGGGGAAGUGAAACAUCUCAGUACCCUUAGGAAAAGAAAUCAAUUGAGAUUCCCUCAGUAGCGGCGAGCGAACGGGGAUCAGCCCAUUAAGUUAUGUGUGUUUUAGUGGAACGCUCUGGGAAGUGCGAACGUAGAGGGUGAUAUUCCCGUACACGAAAGGGCACACAUAAUGAUGACGAGUAGGGCGAGGCACGUGAAACCUUGUCUGAAUAUGGGGGGACCAUCCUCCAAGGCUAAAUACUCCUGACUGACCGAUAGUGAACCAGUACCGUGAGGGAAAGGCGAAAAGAACCCCUGUGAGGGGAGUGAAAUAGAUCCUGAAACCGCAUGCAUACAAGCAGUGGGAGCACCUUCGUGGUGUGACUGCGUACCUUUUGUAUAAUGGGUCAGCGACUUAUAUUCAGUAGCGAGGUUAACCGUAUAGGGGAGCCGUAGAGAAAUCGAGUCUUAAUAGGGCGUUUAGUUGCUGGGUAUAGACCCGAAACCAGGCGAUCUAUCCAUGAGCAGGUUGAAGGUUGGGUAACACUAACUGGAGGACCGAACCCACUGUCGUUGAAAAGCCAGGGGAUGACUUGUGGAUAGGGGUGAAAGGCUAAUCAAGCCUGGUGAUAGCUGGUUCUCCCCGAAAGCUAUUUAGGUAGCGCCUCGGACGAAUACCAUAGGGGGUAGAGCACUGUUUCGGCUAGGGGGUCAUCCCGACUUACCAAACCGAUGCAAACUCCGAAUACCUAUGAGUACUAUCCGGGAGACAGACUGCGGGUGCUAACGUCCGUAGUCAAGAGGAAAACAAUCCAGACCGCCAGCUAAGGCCCCAAAAUCAUAGUUAAGUGGGAAACGAUGUGGGAAGGCAUAGACAGCUAGGAGGUUGGCUUAGAAGCAGCCACCCUUUAAAGAAAGCGUAAUAGCUCACUAGUCGAGUCGGCCUGCGCGGAAGAUGUAACGGGGCUAAAACUAUGUGCCGAAGCUGCGGAUGUUACAUUGUAUACGUGGUAGGGGAGCGUUCUGUAAGCCGAUGAAGGUGUGUUGAGAAGCAUGCUGGAGGUAUCAGAAGUGCGAAUGCUGACGUGAGUAACGACAAAACGGGUGAAAAACCCGUUCGCCGAAAGACCAAGGGUUCCAGUCCAACGUUAAUCGGGGCUGGGUGAGUCGACCCCUAAGGCGAGGCCGAAAGGCGUAGUCGAUGGGAAAAUGGUUAAUAUUCCAUUACUUCUGUGUAAUGCGAUGAGAGGACGGAGAAGGCUAAAUCAGCCUGGCGUUGGUUGUCCAGGUGAAAGGAUGUAGGCAUGUAUCUUAGGCAAAUCCGGGGUACUCUAUGCUGAGAUCUGAUAGCAAGCUGUACUUGUACAGCGAAGUGGUUGAUGCCAUGCUUCCAGGAAAAGUCUCUAAGCUUCAGUUACACAGGAAUCGUACCCGAAACCGACACAGGUGGUCAGGUCGAGUAGACCAAGGCGCUUGAGAGAACUCUGCUGAAGGAACUAGGCAAAAUGGUACCGUAACUUCGGGAGAAGGUACGCUGUUGUUGGUGAUGGAACUCGCUUCCUGAGCUGACGACAGCCGCAGAAACCAGGCCGCUGCAACUGUUUAUUAAAAACAUAGCACUCUGCAAACACGAAAGUGGACGUAUAGGGUGUGAUGCCUGCCCGGUGCUGGAAGGUUAAUUGAUGGGGUUAGCGUAAGCGAAGCUCUUGAUCGAAGCCCCAGUAAACGGCGGCCGUAACUAUAACGGUCCUAAGGUAGCGAAAUUCCUUGUCGGGUAAGUUCCGACCUGCACGAAUGGCAUAAUGAUGGCGGCGCUGUCUCCAGCAGAGGCUCAGUGAAAUCGAAAUCGCUGUGAAGAUGCAGUGUACCCGCGGCUAGACGGAAAGACCCCGUGAACCUUUACUGCAGCUUGACACUGAACUUUGACCUUACUUGUGUAGGAUAGGUGGGAGGCUUUGAAGCUGGAACGCUAGUUCCAGUGGAGCCGUCCUUGAAAUACCACCCUGGUAAUGUUGAGGUUCUAACUCUGUCCCGUGAUCCGGGACGAGGACCGUGUCUGGUGGGUAGUUUGACUGGGGCGGUCUCCUCCUAAAGAGUAACGGAGGAGUACGAAGGUGCGCUCAGCGUGGUCGGAAAUCACGCGUAGAGUAUAAAGGCAAAAGCGCGCUUAACUGCGAGACCCACAAGUCGAGCAGGUACGAAAGUAGGUCUUAGUGAUCCGGUGGUUCUGUAUGGAAGGGCCAUCGCUCAACGGAUAAAAGGUACUCUGGGGAUAACAGGCUGAUACCGCCCAAGAGUUCAUAUCGACGGCGGUGUUUGGCACCUCGAUGUCGGCUCAUCUCAUCCUGGGGCUGAAGCAGGUCCCAAGGGUAUGGCUGUUCGCCAUUUAAAGAGGUACGCGAGCUGGGUUUAGAACGUCGUGAGACAGUUCGGUCCCUAUCUACCGUGGGCGCUGGAAAUUUGAGAGGAUCUGCUCCUAGUACGAGAGGACCAGAGUGGACGAACCUCUGGUGUACCGGUUGUGACGCCAGUCGCAUCGCCGGGUAGCUAUGUUCGGAAGGGAUAACCGCUGAAAGCAUCUAAGCGGGAAGCCUACCUCAAGAUAAGAUUUCCCUAGGACUUUAUGUCCUCUAAAGAGCCGUUCGAGACUAGGACGUUGAUAGGUUGGAUGUGGAAGCAUAGUGAUAUGUGAAGCUGACCAAUACUAAUUGCUCGUGAGGCUUGACUAU
rnacentral:rRNA from 1 species